rnacentral:lncRNA from 1 species
GACAAUCCGGGUUCCUCGAGCUCACUGUUGCGGGCUCUCAGCCUCAGACUUCCAGGAAUGCCUCCCUCUCUGCUGGAAACUCCAUCACAUUGACAACUGCUUUCUGAAUUCUGAGGGCAGCUCCCCAUUCCAUUGGCAAUGGACUAACGGGGUCACGACUGCAUCAAGAGAGACGAAGCCUGCAGCAGUUUGGUAGCGGCUAACACCCCAAAUAUCCUGAGCUUCAUCUGUAUUCAUUCUCCCCUAGUGCCGUGGAUGGCUUCUGCAGACUCGAGUUUAUCUCAGCCUCAAAGCUAAUAGAGUUAAACCAGCUGGUCAAUUUAAACACGAGCAGAACCAGUGAGAUGUUACUGUAUUCUGAGGCGGUGCUAAUAAACUUUAAUAGAUUUCAGCUAACAA